UACAGAGGUCCCAAGCGUUGUUCGGACUCACUGGGCGUAAAGGGUGCGUAGGUGGUGAGGUAAGUCCGAUGUGAAAUCCCGCAGCUCAACUGCGGAACUGCAUCGGAUACUACCUGGCUAGAGGGUUUGAGGGGGGACUGGAAUUCUCGGUGUAACAGUGAAAUGCGUAGAUAUCGAGAGGAACACCAGUGGCGAAGGCGAGUCCCUGGACAACUCCUGACACUGAGGCACGAAAGCCAGGGGAGCAAACCGG
rnacentral:rRNA from 1 species